GGUCAUUGUUUUCUGAAUUGAGCGUGGUGGAGAUCAAGAAGGCGUCCGCGGCUCCGAGAGAGUGUGUGUCUACUGUGGUCUGCUACCUUAAGUGGUUCAUUGUUUUCUGAAUUGAGCGUGGUGGAGAUCAAGAAGGCGUCCGCGGCUCCGAGAGAGUGUGUGUCUACUGUGGUCUGCUACCUUAAGUGGUUCAUUGUUUUCUGAAUUGAGCGUGGUGGAGAUCAAGAAGGCGUCCGCGGCUCCGAGAGAGUGUGUGUCUACUGUGGUCUGCUACCUUAAGUGGUUCAUUGUUUUCUGAAUUGAGCGUGGUGGAGAUCAAGAAGGCGUCCGCGGCUCCGAGAGAGUGUGUGUCUACUGUGGUCUGCUACCCAAAAG